GACGAACGCUGGCGGCGUGCCUAAUACAUGCAAGUAGAACGCUGAAGGAGGAGCUUGCUUCUCCGGAUGAGUUGCGAACGGGUGAGUAACGCGUAGGUAACCUGCCUGGUAGCGGGGGAUAACUAUUGGAAACGAUAGCUAAUACCGCAUAAUAGUAGAUGUUGCAUGACAUUUGCUUAAAAGGUGCAAUUGCAUCACUACCAGAUGGACCUGCGUUGUAUUAGCUAGUUGGUGGGGUAACGGCUCACCAAGGCGACGAUACAUAGCCGACCUGAGAGGGUGAUCGGCCACACUGGGACUGAGACACGGCCCAGACUCCUACGGGAGGCAGCAGUAGGGAAUCUUCGGCAAUGGACGGAAGUCUGACCGAGCAACGCCGCGUGAGUGAAGAAGGUUUUCGGAUCGUAAAGCUCUGUUGUAAGAGAAGAACGAGUGUGAGAGUGGAAAGUUCACACUGUGACGUAUCUACCAGAAAGACGCA
rnacentral:rRNA from 1 species